rnacentral:rRNA from 1 species
GCAUAUCAAUAAGCGGAGGAAAAGAAAAUAACAAUGAUUUCCCCAGUAACGGCGAGUGAAGAGGAAAGAGCUCAAAGUUGGAACCUGUUUGGCUUAGCUAAACCGGAUUGUAAACUGUAGAAGUGUUUUCCUGACACGCCAGAUAAAUAAGUCCUUUGGAACAGGGCAUCAUAGAGGGUGAGAAUCCCGUCUUUGGUCUGAGCUGUUGUCUUUUGUGAUACAUUUUCAAAGAGUCAGGUUGUUUGGGAAUGCAGCCUAAAUUGGGUGGUAAAUCUCACCUAAAGCUAAAUAUUUGCGAGAGACCGAUAGCGAACAAGUACCGUGAGGGAAAGAUGAAAAGAACUUUGAAAAGAGAGUUAAACAGUAUGUGAAAUUGUUAAAAGGGAACCGUUUGGAGCCAGACUGGCUUGACUGUAAUCAAUCUAGAUCCUUCUGGAUGCACUUGCAGUCUAUGCCUGCCAACGACAAUUUUUUCUGGGAGAAAAAACUAAGAGGAAUGUGGCCCUUCGGGGUGUUAUAGCUUUUUAGAAAAUAUCCUGGAUUGGAUUGAGGAUCGCAGUGAAUGCCUUUAGGCAAGAUUGCUAGGCGCUUUCGCUAAUAAAUGCUAGAAUUUCUGCUUCAGGUGGUGCUAGUGUUUAAAGGUGGAACUCGUCUGGUAUAUUUUUUAUUCGCUUAGGUUGUUGGCUUAAUGACUCUAAAUGACCCGUCUUGAAACACGGACC